rnacentral:rRNA from 1 species
AGAUUGAACGCUGGCGGCGUGCCUAACACAUGCAAGUCGAGCGGUAGCAGGUGUAGCAAUACAUGCUGACGAGCGGCGAACGGGUGAGCAAUGCUUCGGAAUCUGCCCAAUGAUGGGGAAUAACCAGUCGAAAGAUUGGCUAAGUACCGCAUAAGCCCUACGGGGGAAAGCGGGGGUCGCAAGCCUCGCGUCGAUGGAUGAGCCGAAGUCGGAUUAGCUAGUUGGUAGGGUAACGGCCUACCAAGGCGACGAUCCGUAGCUGGUCUGAGAGGACGACCAGCCACACUGGACUGAGACACGGCCCAGACUCCGUACGGGAGGCAGCAGGUGGGAAUAUUGGACGAAGUGGGGGCAACCGUGAUCCAGCGACGCCGCGUGGUGUGAAGAAGCCGUGGCGGUUAG